UCCAUAUGAUUGCUUUCCUGCUCUGGGACCUGCCUGACUGAUCUCUUCUUUCCAGAUGUCAGACAACUCUCUAAUCAGCUCUUUGGAGAAUGGCAAAAAUGUCAUCAGUGAUGAUGAAAAAGACCAGGAGGAAGUGUCAGACAAGUCUCUAAUCAGCUCUUUGGAGAAUGGCAAAAAUGUCAUCAGUGAUGAUGAAAAAGACCAGGAGGAAGUGUGAACGUGGGGCCCGAGUUGAAAAGGCUCUCAUCUGAAUCCCUGAAGACCUGGACCUGGACCCCAUCCUGGACCCCAGAGGCGGUGGAGCCCACACAGCACGAGGAGCCUCAUUUGGAUCAGAUUAGGGGAGGCCUCACUGCUUCUUUCCUGAGGGCCCUCAUUUAGUACAGCUUCAGUUGUUUUGUUGUAUAGAUUUAGUAUUAGUUUUAUCUAGUUUUAUCUACAAGUUCUGUAUGUAUCUGUAUGUUCAAUGUUUAUAGGUAAGGUUUUUCAUUAAAGGUUUAAAAUCUAUUUGUUAUUUUUACAAAAUAUU
rnacentral:lncRNA from 1 species